rnacentral:rRNA from 1 species
AGAGUUUGAUCAUGGCUCAGAAUGAACGCUGGCGGCGCGCCUAAUACAUGCAAGUCGAGCGAGAAGACGUAGCAAUACGUUUGUAAAGCGGCGAACGGGUGAGGAAUACAUGGGUAACCUACCCUCGAGUGGGGAAUAACUAGCCGAAAGGUUAGCUAAUACCGCGUACGCUCCUUGGACUUCGGUUCAGGGAGGAAAGCGAUACCGUGGGUAUCGCGCUCUUGGAUGGGCUCAUGUCCUAUCAGCUUGUUGGUGAGGUAACGGCUCACCAAGGCUUCGACGGGUAGCUGGUCUGAGAGGACGAUCAGCCACACUGGCACUGCGACACGGGCCAGACUCCUACGGGAGGCAGCAGUAAGGAAUAUUGCGCAAUGGGCGAAAGCCUGACGCAGCGACGCCGCGUGGGGGAUGAAGGUCUUCGGAUUGUAAACCCCUUUCGGGAGGGAAGAUGGAAUGGGGUAACCCAUUUGGACGGUACCUCCAGAAGCAG